rnacentral:rRNA from 1 species
AGUGAAGCGGCAAUAGCUCAAAUUUGAAAUCUGGCUCCUUUUAGGGGUCCGAGUUGUAAUUUGCAGAGGGUGCUUUGGCGUUGGUAGCGGUCUAAGUUCCUUGGAACAGGACAUCGCAGAGGGUGAGAAUCCCGUUUGUGGUCGCAUGCCUUCGCCGUGUAAAGCCCCUUCGACGAGUCGAGUUGUUUGGGAAUGCAGCUCUAAAUGGGAGGUAAAUUUCUUCUAAAGCUAAAUACUGGCCAGAGACCGAUAGCGCACAAGUAGAGUGAUCGAAAGAUGAAAAGCACUUUGGAAAGAGAGUCAAACAGCACGUGAAAUUGUUGAAAGGGAAGCGCUUGCAGCCAGACUUGCCCGUAGUUGCUCACCUAGGCUUUUGCCUGGGGCAUUCUUCUGCGGGCAGGCCAGCAUCAGUUUGGGCGGUCGGAUAAAGGCCUCUGUCAUGUAACUUCCUUCGGGAAGAACUUAUAGGGGAGGCGAAAUGCGACCAGCCCGGACUGAGGUCCGCGCUUCUGCUAGGAUGCUGGCGUAAUGGCUGUAAGCGGCCCGUCUUGAAACACGGACCAAGGAGUCUAACAUCUAUGCGAGUGUUUGGGUGUCAAGCCCGAGCGCGUAAUGAAAGUGAACGGAGGUGGGAACCCUUUGGGUGCACCAUCGACCGAUCCUGAUGUCUUCGGAUGGAUUUGAGUAAGAGCAUAGCUGUUGGGACCCGAAAGAUGGUGAACUAUGCUUGAAUAGGGUGAAGCCAGAGGAAACUCUGGUGGAGGCUCGCAGCGGUUCUGACGUGCAAAUCGAUCGUC